UGUCGAAUGAAGACUCCAUUAAAAAUAGCGAAUGAAGAAAAAGAAUUAGGAAAAAAGCAGUCGGAGUGGACUCACCGCCAUUUCCGCCGUACAUCAUCAGGCAGCCCUUUGCAAAGAUCUGCAUCAAGACUGAUUUGGACCUUUCUGCCUUUCAUUUCAAGACUGAUCAAGUUGGAGGUGCACAUGGAUGAAUACGCUUUUCACACUUUCCAAGAUUUCAGCAAAAGUAUUUAAUGGUGUAUUUGUAAAUCUGUUUUGCAACCAUCAGUUAAUACGUAAUGUGUAAAAAAAUACUAUAUUUUUCCCGCCCAAA